UACGAGAGGCCCAAACGUUAUUCGGAAUUACUGGGCUUAAAGAGCUCGUAGGCGGUUUGUCGCGUCUGCCGUGAAAGUCCGGGGCUCAACUCCGGAUCUGCGGUGGGUACGGGCAGACUAGAGUGAUGUAGGGGAGACUGGAAUUCCUGGUGUAGCGGUGAAAUGCGCAGAUAUCAGGAGGAACACCGAUGGCGAAGGCAGGUCUCUGGGCAUUAACUGACGCUGAGGAGCGAAAGCAUGGGGAGCGAACAGG
rnacentral:rRNA from 1 species